UUUGAGUUUGAUGAUGGCUCUGAAUGAACGCUGUCCAAAUGCUUGACACAUGCUAAUCGAACGUCUAAUAUAAUAAAUAAUUUUUUAGCUAUUUUUUAGCUUAUUAAAAAAUUUACUUAAUUAGAAGUGGUGUACAGGUGAGUAUAUGAUAUUUUGGCUACCCUAAAGCAAGGGAAAUAAAUACCUUAUAUGAAUUACUUCUAAAGGAAAUAUUUUUAAAAUUUUCCGCUUUAUGAUGACAAUAAAUAUCUCGGAUAGGUAGUAGUUAAGGUAAUAACUUAACUAGCCUAAGAUUCCGUAGUCGAGGCUGAAAGGUUGAUCGAUCACAUUGGGUCUGAAAAAACCCCAAUACGUAUUGUACAGCAGUGAGGAAUAUUGGUCAAUAGCCUAACGGCUGAACCAGCAACUUGGAGGAAUGAAAAGCUACGGCUUGUUAACCCAAUAUUAAAAGGUUAAUAUCGACUAUGUCGAAUAAAGUUCUAGAUAGAAUACUGAUUAUGACAAUUUUCUAUCUAUUUGUCUUGACCCAAUUACGUGCCAGCAGUCGCGGUAAUACGUAGAAGACUAGUGUUAUUCAUCUUUAAUAGGUUUAAAGGGUACCUAGACGGUAUUAUUAGCCCAGAAAAGGGUACGAUUUUACUAGAGUUUUAUAUGAGAAGGUAGUAUUUAUGGAGGAGAGAUUAAAUACGAUGAUACCCUAAGGACUGGUAACGGCGAAAGCAACCUUCUAUCUAAUAACUGACGUUGAGGGACGAAGGCCUGGGUAGCAAAGAGGAUUAGAUACCCUAGUAGUCCAGGCAGAGAAUUAUGAAUGCUAUAGAUUAGAUUAUAUUUAGACUAUAAAUGAAAGUGUAAGCAUUCCACCUUAAGAGUAAUGUGGCAACGCAGGAACUGAAAUCAUUAGGCCGUUUCUGAAACCAGUAGUGAAGUAUGUUAUUUAAUUCGAUAGCCCUCGAAAAACCUUACCACAAUUUGCAUAUUAUGUACAUAUUAAUGAGUACAUAUUUACAAGCGUUGCACGGCUGUCUUCAGUUAAUGUCGUGAGAUUUUGGUUAGUUCCAUAAAAUUAACGUAAACCCUUGCUUUAUUUUUAAAUUAUUUUUUAUAAAGUAGUUCGCCAUUAUAUUGGUUUGAUAUAUGGGACCAAGACAAGUCAUCAUGGCCUUUAUAUUGUGGGCUAUAGACGUGCCACAUAAUCCUAUACAAAGAGAUGCGAAAGUGUGAACUCGAGCUAAUCUCAAAAGUAGGUUAUAAUAUGGAUUGUAGUCUGUAACUCGACUACAUGAAUAAGGAAUUACUAGUAAUCGUGAAUCACCACGUCACGGUGGAUUAUAUCUCAGAUAGGUACUAACUACUCGUCGCGCGCCGAAAGAAGU
rnacentral:rRNA from 2 species